UACGGAGGGUGCGAGCGUUGUCCGGAAUCACUGGGCGUAAAGGGCGCGUAGGCGGCCUGAUAAGUAGGGGGUGAAAUCCUGCGGCUUAACCGCAGGGCUGCCUUCUAAACUGUCAGGCUAGAGCACGGUAGAGGCAGAUGGAAUUCCCGGUGUAGCGGUGGAAUGCGUAGAGAUCGGGAAGAACAUCAGUGGCGAAGGCGGUCUGCUGGGCAGUGGCUGACGCUGAGGCGCGACAGCGUGGGGAGCAAACAGG
rnacentral:rRNA from 1 species